rnacentral:rRNA from 1 species
AGCGAACGCUGGCGGCAGGCCUAACACAUGCAAGUCGAACGAAGUCUUCGGACUUAGUGGCGGACGGGUGAGUGACACGUGGGAACGUACCUUUUGGUUCGGAACAACUCAGGGAAACUUGAGCUAAUACCGGAUGAGCCCUUAGGGGGAAAGAUUUAUCGCCGAAAGAGCGGCCCGCGUUAGAUUAGCGAGUUGGUGAGGUAAAGGACCACCAAGGCUACGAUCUAUAGCUGGUCGGAGAGGAUGAUCAGCCACACUGGGACUGAGACACGGCCCAGACUCCUACGGGAGGCAGCAGUGUGGAAUCUUGCGCAAUGGGCGAAAGCCUGACGCAGCCAUGCCGCGUGAAUGAUGAAGGUCUUAGGAUUGUAAAAUUCUUUUACCAGGGACGAUAAUGACGGUACCUGGAGAAAAAGCCCCGGCUAACUUCGUGCCAGCCGCCGCCGUAAAAC